AGUGAACGCUGGCGGUAGGCCUAACACAUGCAAGUCGAACGGCAGCACAGUAAGAGCUUGCUCUUACGGGUGGCGAGUGGCGGACGGGUGAGGAAUACAUCGGAAUCUACUUUUUCGUGGGGGAUAACGUCGGGAAACGUACGCUAAUACCGCAUACGACCUACGGGUGAAAGCAGGGGAUCUUCGGACCUUGCGCGAUUGAAUGAGCCGAUGUCGGAUUAGCUAGUUGGCGGGGUAAAGGCCCACCAAGGCGACGAUCCGUAGCUGGUCUGAGAGGAUGAUCAGCCACACUGGAACUGAGACACGGUCCAGACUCCUACGGGAGGCAGCAGUGGGGAAUAUUGGACAAUGGGCGCAAGCCUGAUCCAGCCAUACCGCGUGGGUGAAGAAGGCCUUCGGGUUGUAAAGCCCUUUUGUUGGGAAAGAAAAGCAGCAGGUUAAUACCCCGCUGUUCUGACGGUACCCAAAGAAUAAGCACCGGCUAACUUCGUG
rnacentral:rRNA from 1 species